GUUGAAGUUCAGGUAACACUGAAUGGAGGACCGAACCGACUUACGUUGAAAAGUGAGCGGAUGAACUGAGGGUAGCGGAGAAAUUCCAAUCGAACCUGGAGAUAGCUGGUUCUCUCCGAAAUAGCUUUAGGGCUAGCCUCAAGUGAUGAUUAUUGGAGGUAGAGCACUGUUUGGACGAGGGGCCCCUCUCGGGUUACCGAAUUCAGACAAACUCCGAAUGCCAAUUAAUUUAACUUGGGAGUCAGAACAUGGGUGAUAAGGUCCGUGUUCGAAAGGGAAACAGCCCAGACCACCAGCUAAGGUCCCAAAAUAUAUGUUAAGUGGAAAAGGAUGUGGCGUUGCCCAGACAACUAGGAUGUUGGCUUAGAAGCAGCCAUCAUUUAAAGAGUGCGUAAUAGCUCACUAGUCGAGUGACACUGCGC
rnacentral:rRNA from 1 species